AAUACCCCAUAAUGACAUCACAAUACCCCAUAAUGACAUCACAAUACCCUAUAAUGACAUCACAAUACCCCAUAAUGACAUCACAGUACCCUAUAAUGACAUCACAAUACCCCAUAAUGACAUCACAAUACCCUAUGACAAAGCAAAAACAAUUUUUUCGAAAUUUUGAUAAUUUAUCCAAAUAAACAUAAAUAUUCAGACCCUUUACUCAGUACUUUGUUGAAUCACCUUUGGCAGCGAUUACAGCCUCAGGUCUUCUUGGGUAUCACGCUAAAAGCUUGGCACACCUGUAUUUGGGGAGUUUCUCCCAUUCCUCUCUGCAGAUCAUCUCAAUCUCUGUCAGGUUGGAUGGGGAGCGUCGCUGCACAGCUGUUUUCAGGUCUCUCCAGAGGUGUUCGAUCGGGUUCAAGUCCGGGCUCUGGCUGGCCCACUCAAGGACAUUCAGAGAUUGUCCCGAAGCCACACCUGCGUUGUCUUGGCUGUAUGCUUAGGGUCAUUGUCCUGUUGGAAGGUGAACCUUCGCCCCAGUCUGAGGUUCUGGAUCAGGUUUACAUCAAGGAUCUCUCUGUACUUUUCUCCGUUCAUCUUUCCCUCGAUCCUGACUAGUCUCCCAGUCCCUGUCGCUGAGAAACAUUCCCACAGCAUGAUGCUGCCACCACCAUGCUUCACCGUAGGGAUGGUGCCAGGUUUCCUCCAGACGUGAUGCUUGACAUUCAGGCCAAAGAGUUCAAUCUUGGUUUCAUCAGACCAGAGAAUCUUGUUUCUCAUGGUCAUAGUCCUUUAGGUGCCUUUUGGCAAACUCCAAGUGGGCUGUCAUGUGCCUUCUUGCUGAGGAGUGGCUUCCGUCUGGCCACUCUACUAUAAAGGCCUGAUUGGUGGAGUGCUGCAGAGAUGGUUGUCCUUCUGGAAGGUUCUCUCAUCUCCACAGAGGAACUCUGGAGCUCUGUCAGAGUGACCAUCAGGUUCUUGGUCGACCUGACCAAGGCCCUUCUCCCCCGAUUGCUCAGUUUGUCCGGGCGGCCAGGUCUAGGAAGAGUCUUGGUGGUUCCAAACUUCUUCCAUUUAAGAAUGAUGGAGGCCACUGUGUUCUUGGGGACCUUCAAUGCUAAAUAAACGUUUUAUUUUGUAUAAAUUUGAUUAUGGGGUAUUGUGAUGUCGUUGUGGGGCAUUGUGAUGUCAUUAUGGGGUAUUGUGAUGUCGUUAUGGGGUAUUGUGAUGUCGUUAUGGGGUAUUGUGAUGUCGUUAUGGGGUAUUGUGAUGUCGUUAUGGGGUAUUGUGAUGUCGUUAUGGGGUAUUGUGAUGUCGUUAUGGGGUAUUGUGAUGUCGUUAUGGGGUAUUGUGAUGUCGUUAUGGGGUAUUGUGAUGUCGUUAUGGGGUAUUGUGAUGUCGUUAUGGGGUAUUGUGAUGUCGUUAUGGGGUAUUGUGAUGUCGUUAUGGGGUAUUGUCGUUAUGGGGUAUUGUGAUGUCGUUAUGGGGUAUUGUGAUGUCAUUAUGGGGUCUUGUGAUGUCGUUAUGAGGUAUUGUGAUGUCGUUAUGGGGUAUUGUGAUGUCGUUAUGGGGUAUUGUGAUGUCGUUAUGGGGUAUUGUGAUGUCGUUAUGGGGUAUUGUGAUGUCAUUAUGGGGUAUUGUGAUGUCAUUAUGGGGUAUUGUGAUGUCGUUAUGGGGUAUUGUGAUGUCGUUAUGGGGUAUUGUGAUGUCAUUAUGGGGUAUUGUGAUGUCAUUAUGGGGUAUUGUGAUGUCUUUAUGGGGUAUUGUGAUGUCAUUAUGGGGUAUUGUGAUGUCAUUAUGGGGUAUUGUGUGCAGAUUGAUGAGGGGAAAAUGUAAUCCAUUUUAGAAUAAGGCUGUAACAUAGUCAAAAGUAAAAAGUCAAGUGGUCUGAAUACUUUCCUGAAGGUCCUGUACUACAGACAUGUAUUCCACUCACAGGCCAUACAGUCAUCGUCCCCACUGUUAAUGUAGGAUCACUAUAAUAUGGAAUAGCUCUCUAGAAUAUUAGAGCAAUGGGGUUAUACUGUUUGGUACUAAUGUGUGUGUGUGUGUGUGUGUGUGUGUGUGUGUGUGUGUGUGUGUGUGUGUGUGUGUGUGUGUGUGUGUGUGUGUGUGUGUGUGUGUGUGUGUGUGUGUGUGUGUGUGUGUGUGUGUGUGUGUGCG